UACGUAGGGGGCUAGCGUUGUCCGGAAUCAUUGGGCGUAAAGCGCGCGUAGGCGGCCCGGUAAGUCCGCUGUAAAAGUCCAAGGCUCAACCCUGGAAAGCCGGUGGAUACUGUCGGGCUCGAGUCCGGAAGAGGCGAGUGGAAUUCCUGGUGUAGCGGUGGAAUGCGCAGAUAUCAGGAGGAACACCGAUGGCGAAGGCGGCUCUCUGGGACGGUACUGACGCUGAGACGCGAAAGCGUGGGGAGCGAACAGG
rnacentral:rRNA from 1 species